GAUGAACGCUGGCGGCGUGCCUAAUACAUGCAAGUCGAGCGAAUGGAUUAAGAGCUUGCUCUUAUGAAGUUAGCGGCGGACGGGUGAGUAACACGUGGGUAACCUGCCCAUAAGACUGGGAUAACUCCGGGAAACCGGGGCUGAUACCGGAUAACAUUUUGAACCGCAUGGUUCGAAAUUGAAAGGCGGCUUCGGCUGGCACUUAUGGAUGGACCCGGGUCGCAUUAGCUAGUUGGUGAGGUAACGGCUCACCAAGGCAACGAUGCGUAGCCGACCUGGGAGGGUGAUCGGCCACACUGGGACUGAGACACGGCCCAGACUCCUACGGGAGGCAGCAGUAGGGAAUCUUCCGCAAUGGACGAAAGUCUGACGGAGCAACGCCGCGUGAGUGAUGAAGGCUUUCGGGUCGUAAAACUCUGUUGUUAGGGAAGAACAAGUGCUAGUUGAAUAAGCUGACACCUUGACGGUACCUAACCAGAAAGCCAUGGCUAACUACGUGCCAGCAGCCGCCGUAA
rnacentral:rRNA from 1 species